rnacentral:rRNA from 1 species
UAUGCCUACGGGACGCAGCAGCGAGGGAUAUUGGGCAAUGGGGGAAACCCUGAACCAGCCAUGCCGCGUGCAGGAAGACGGCUCUAUGAGUUGUAAACUGCUUUUGUACAAGGGUAAACCUGAAUACGUGUAUUCAGCUGAAAGUACUGUACGAAUAAGGAUCGGCUAACUCCGUGCCAGCAGCCGCGGUAAUACGGAGGAUCCAAGCGUUAUCCGGAUUUAUUGGGUUUAAAGGGUGCGUAGGCGGAUUGAUAAGUUAGAGGUGAAAUGUCCGAGCUUAACUCGGGAACUGCCUCUAAUACUGU